rnacentral:rRNA from 1 species
GACGAACGCUGGCGGCGUGCCUAAUACAUGCAAGUCGAGCGGAUCUUCUCCUUCGGGAGAAGGUUAGCGGCGGACGGGUGAGUAACACGUAGGCAACCUGCCCACAAGACCGGGAUAACAUUCGGAAACGAAUGCUAAGACCGGAUACGCAACUUGGUCGCAUGACUGGGUUGGGAAACACGGUUCAAGCUGUGGCUUGUGGAUGGGCCUGCGGCGCAUUAGCUAGUUGGUGAGGUAACGGCCCACCAAGGCGACGAUGCGUAGCCGACCUGAGGGGGUGAACGGCCACACUGGGAGUGAGACACGGCCCAGACUCCUACGGGAGUCAGCAGUAGGGAAUCUUCCACAAUGGGCGAAAGCCUGAUGGAGCAACGCCGCGUGAGUGAGUAAGGCUUUCGGGUCGUAAAGCUCUGUUGCCAGGGAAGAAUAAGGGCUAGUUAACUGCUAGUCCGAUGACGGUACCUGAGAAGAAAGCCCCGGCUAACUACGUGCCAGCAGCCGCGGUAAAAC